AUUGAACGCUGGCGGCAGGCCUAACACAUGCAAGUCGAACGAGUGGCGGACGGGUGAGUAAUGUCUGGGAAACUGCCCGAUGGGGGGGGAUAACUUCUGGAACCGGUCGCUAAUACCCCAUACCUUCGUAUGUGCCCCUAUGGGUUUAGCUAGUAGGUGAGGUAUCGGCUCACCUAGGCGACGCUCCCUCCCUUGUCUGAGAGGAUGACCAGCCACACUGGAACUGAGACACGGUCCAGAGUCGUACGGGAGGCAGCAGUGGGGCAUAUUGCACAAGGAGCACAAGCCUGAUACGGACAUGCGGCGUGUAUGAAGAAGGCCUUCGGGUUGUAAAGUACUUUCAGCGAGGAGGCGUUACUCGCAGAAGAAGCAUCGGCUAACUCCGUGCCAGCAGCCGCGGUAAUUC
rnacentral:rRNA from 1 species